ensembl:lncRNA
UAUGCUACAAGCAAAAAGCAAGAGUUUCCAAUGGAAAAAAUGACUCUGGAGGAAAAGCUGCUUAGAUGGAGCACCGUAAAAGUCUGAAUUGCCUUGAGAUGAAACACAAUAAACAGAACUGAAGAUGUGCUCAGAGCCUCGCUGACUGCAGCUCGGAGUCAGGUGACUUGGCUGAAAUCCAUUUACUCUGCACUGUAAUCAAGGAUGCUGUGUUUUGUGCUCGAGCACGAGGAGAAGAGAUUGCUGUCAGGGCUGUCUGCAGGAUACAGCAAAAAACGGGGAAUGUCAAGGAUGGGAUUAUCGUUCCAUUAUACUCGGAGCACAUCUGCAUCAGCUUGAG